AGAGGUCCUUUGAAUUGUCAUCACCAAUAAAAUAACUAUUUUCCUCCUGAAAUUCCACAGACUAGUCUUUACUAUUGAACUAUGUUCAGGAACGUAAGGAAAAAAAAAAAAAUACAAAAAUAAAAUGUGCAAAACACAGAAAAGCUGGGGAAGAAAACAGGUGUAGGGAUGACUCCCUGUUGGGAUUUCCCAGGGUGCAAGUUACAGCCCUCGGUACCUGAGUAAA